rnacentral:rRNA from 1 species
UACAGAGGGGGGCAAGCGUUGUUCGGAAUUACUGGGCGUAAAGGGCGCGUAGGCGGCCUUCUAAGUCGAACGUGAAAUCCCCGGGCUCAACCCGGGAACUGCGUCCGAUACUGGAAGGCUUGAAUCCGGGAGAGGGAUGCAGAAUUCCAGGUGUAGCGGUGAAAUGCGUAGAUAUCUGGAGGAAUACCGGUGGCGAAGGCGGCAUCCUGGACCGGCAUUGACGCUGAGGAGCGAAAGCUAGGGGAGCAAACGGG